GACGAACGCUGGCGGCGUGCUUAACACAUGCAAGUCGAACGGAAAGGCCCUGCUUUUGUGGGGUGCUCGAGUGGCGAACGGGUGAGUAACACGUGAGUAACCUGCCCUUGACUUUGGGAUAACUUCAGGAAACUGGGGCUAAUACCGGAUAGGAGCUCCUGCUGCACGGUGGGGGUUGGAAAGUUUCGGCGGUUGGGGAUGGACUCGCGGCUUAUCAGCUUGUUGGUGGGGUAGUGGCUUACCAAGGCUUUGACGGGUAGCCGGCCUGAGAGGGUGACCGGCCACAUUGGGACUGAGAUACGGCCCAGACUCCUACGGGAGGCAGCAGUGGGGAAUAUUGCACAAUGGGCGGAAGCCUGAUGCAGCAACGCCGCGUGCGGGAUGACGGCCUUCGGGUUGUAAACCGCUUUCGCCUGUGACGAAGCGUGAGUGACGGUAAUGGGUAAAGAAGCACCGGCUAACUACGUGCCAGCAGCCGCGGUGAUACGUAGGGUGCGAGCGUUGUCCGGAUUUAUUGGGCGUAAAGGGCUCGUAGGUGGUUGAUCGCGUCGGAAGUGUAAUCUUGGGGCUUAACCCUGAGCGUGCUUUCGAUACGGGUUGACUUGAGGAAGGUAGGGGAGAAUGGAGUUCCUGGUGGAGCGGUGGAAUGCGCAGAUAUCAGGAGGAACACCAGUGGCGAAGGCGGUUCUCUGGGCCUUUCCUGACGCUGAGGAGCGAAAGCGUGGGGAGCGAACAGGCUUAGAUACCCUGGUAGUCCACGCUGUAAACGGUGGGUACUAGGUGUGGGGUCCAUUCCACGGGUUCCGUGCCGUAGCUAACGCUUUAAGUACCCCGCCUGGGGAGUACGGCCGCAAGGCUAAAACUCAAAGGAAUUGACGGGGCCCCGCACAAGCGGCGGAGCAUGCGGAUUAAUUCGAUGCAACGCGUAGAACCUUACCUGGGUUUGACAUGGAUCGGGAGUGCUCAGAGAUGGGUGUGCCUCUUUUGGGGUCGGUUCACAGGUGGUGCAUGGCUGUCGUCAGCUCGUGUCGUGAGAUGUUGGGUUAAGUCCCGCAACGAGCGCAACCCUUGUUCACUGUUGCCAGCACGUUAUGGUGGGGACUCAGUGGAGACCGCCGGGGUCAACUCGGAGGAAGGUGGGGAUGACGUCAAGUCAUCAUGCCCCUUAUGUCCAGGGCUUCACGCAUGCUACAAUGGCUGGUACAGAGGGUGGCGAGCCUGUGAGGGUGAGCGAAUCUCGGAAAGCCGGUCUCAGUUCGGAUUGGGGUCUGCAACUCGACCUCAUGAAGUCGGAGUCGCUAGUAAUCGCAGAUCAGCAACGCUGCGGUGAAUACGUUCCCGGGGCU
rnacentral:rRNA from 1 species